rnacentral:rRNA from 1 species
GUGCCAGCAGCCGCGGUAAUACAGAGGUCCCAAGCGUUGUUCGGAUUCACUGGGCGUAAAGGGUGCGUAGGCGGUCAGGUAAGUUUGAUGUGAAAUCUCCGAGCUUAACUCGGAAAUGGCAUUGAAUACUAUUUGGCUAGAGAGUCGGAGGGGGGACUGGAAUACUUGGUGUAGCAGUGAAAUGCGUAGAUAUCAAGUGGAACACCAGUGGCGAAGGCGAGUCCCUGGACGAUUUCUGACGCUGAGGCACGAAAGCUAGGGGAGCAAACAGGAUUAGAAACCCUGGUAGUCC